rnacentral:rRNA from 1 species
GAUGAACGCUGGCGGCGUGCCUAAUACAUGCAAGUCGAGCGAACAGACGAGGAGCUUGCUCCUCUGACGUUAGCGGCGGACGGGUGAGUAACACGUGGAUAACCUACCUAUAAGACUGGGAUAACUUCGGGAAACCGGAGCUAAUACCGGAUAAUAUAUUGAACCGCAUGGUUCAAUAGUGAAAGACGGUUUUGCUGUCACUUAUAGAUGGAUCCGCGCCGCAUUAGCUAGUUGGUAAGGUAACGGCUUACCAAGGCGACGAUGCGUAGCCGACCUGAGAGGGUGAUCGGCCACACUGGAACUGAGACACGGUCCAGACUCCUACGGGAGGCAGCAGUAGGGAAUCUUCCGCAAUGGGCGAAAGCCUGACGCAGCCACGCCGCGUGAGUGAUGAAGGUCUUCGGAUCGUAAAACUCUGUUAUUAGGGAAGAACAAAUGUGUAAGUAACUAUGCACGUCUUGACGGUACCUAAUCAGAAAGCCACGGCUAACUACGUG